CAUAUUUUAAUAAUUUUCAACCACAUAGCAUAUAUAAAUAUUUAUGUGAUUAUCGAUGAUUUGUUAAAACCUGCUGUGCGCAUGCGAAAUUAGUCCCUAGAGAUAUCGCGUGAGUUUCGCGUGCUUUUCCCGCGUUUUUAUUUUUCUGCCAUUAAUCAAGUGCCCGUUGUCUACAAAGUCGGGAGUGUCGUAAAAAAUGUCGCGCGCUCAUUAACUGUAUUCAGGUGUAAUCCUAAUUAAUUGUUUUCGCGAGUGCCCGCGUAAUUGUAAUUAAGUGUUAUCGCGAGUGAGUGUCACGAAGGAGCAACAGCCGUGAAAUGAGAGAGAUGGAGGAGGAGGAGAUCCGGGGCCUCGGGCGACAUCGGAGCAAUCAUGGGAUCAACGCUGUGUAAUUCAGUCGCUGCGCAUCGCAUCGAAGAAGAGCGUUUGCCUGCGAUGAUCGCCGAUACCUUCGUGGACUUCACCCUCCAGAUAUCUACACUCUCGAUCGCCCUUAA